GGGCGAAUGGUCUAGUGGUAUGAUUUUCCCUUAGCAACAGGCGAAGAACCAAAAAGUUCCGCACAACAGACAUUGGGAGAGGUCCGGGGUUCAAUUCCCCGUUCGUCCA